GACGAACGCUGGCGGCGUGCCUAAUACAUGCAAGUCGAACGCAGGGGGGACGGGGGAGUAACACGUGGGUAACCUCCCAUCAGAGGGGAUAACAGUUGGCAACAGGUGCUAAACCGAUACGGGUGGAUGGACCCGCGGUGCAUUAGCUAGUUGGUGGGGUAACGGCUCACCUAGGCGACGAUGCAUAGCCGGCCUGAGAGGGUGAUCGGCCACACUGGGACUGAGACACGGCCCAGACUCCUACGGGAGGCAGCAGUAGGGAAUAUUCGGCAAUGGACGAAAGUCUGACCGAGCAACGCCGCGUGAGUGAAGAAGGUUUUCGGAUCGUAAAACUCUGUUGUGAGAGAAGCGGUAUCUAACCAGAAAGCCACGGCUAACUACGUGCCAGCCGCCGCGGUAAUAC
rnacentral:rRNA from 1 species